rnacentral:rRNA from 1 species
UACGAAGGACCCAAGCGUUAUCCGGAUUCAUUGGGUUUAAAGGGUGCGUAGGUGGAUCUAUAAGUCAGUGGUGAAAGCCCUUCGCUUAACGAAGGAAUUGCCAUUGAUACUGCAGAUCUUGAGUACAGUUGAGGUGGGCGGAAUGUGUCAUGUAGCGGUGAAAUGCUUAGAUAUGACCCAGAACACCGAUUGCGAAGGCAGCUCGCUAAACUGUAACUGACACUGAGGCACGAAAGCGUGGGUAGCAAACAGG